AUAUAUAUACCUUAUGUAUAUAUAUAAAUAUAUAUCUUAUAUAUACUAUAUACUAUAUAAGGAUAUACUGGCUCUACAAAUCUCAUUAUGCUUUGGCUGAUGUCAGAGCUAGUUUACAUUCUAUACUUGUAAGGAUAUAAGGAAUCAGCUUAAACAUGCAAAAUAUAGCCGUCAUUGAAAAAUUGCCAUAUAUUUUCUCUAGAAUUUAAUAACAAGUUGGGUCAAAGUGCGGAGCUAUGAAACUGCAUCUAGCAUUGGUCUAUCUUACAAACUGUGCUAUAAUUAUUGGAAAGCCAUCUGUUUUAAAAUGAGGUGUUAUAUUUAUGCGUAAACUCUUUUUUAGUCUUUUUUGGAUACAUAGAAUUCUAGGAAGGAGGCUGUUCUCCUGGCCAAAAUGAAACACCCCAAAGUGUUGCCUUUAAAGAAUCAUUUGAAGCUGAAGGACAUCGGUAUAUUGUGAUGGAAUAUUGUGAUGGAGGGGACCUAAUGCAAAAGAUUAAACAUCAGAAAGGAAAGUUGUUUCCUGAAGAUACGAUAAGAGACUGACUUACAUAGUUUCCCUCAAGGUUUAGAAGCAACUUUUCUCCUAAAAUCUGUCAUUUAAAAGCACUGGUGUCUGAUUUCCUGAUGGACUAGUUAGAAAUGAUGUGUUUCUGUACCAGAGUGAUUGUUUAGUGUCAUCAGGGUAUAGCUGGAAUAAGAAAUGAAAUAGACAUGUUUACAAAGAAUCAAGGAAUAAAACUUCCAUGUUUAGAAGAAUCUCAAAAUUGUAUUUCUCAUCAUUUUCUGUCCUAGAUAUUUACAGUUUUGAUUGUGGUUGUGGUCACAUUUUGGGAGGCAGGUGAAUUUACUGUGUGUUACCAAAUCACCAGAGGAAUAGAACCUGCAUUUCUGUGUCUUGGGAGUACCUAGUCUCAAUCUUUUUCCUUCUGAAUUUCAGUGUGUUCCCUUAAGUCUAGUGCUUACUAACUUUUAGUGGAAAACUGCAUGCUAAAUAUCAUGGAACAACCUGACUAAGGGAAAUAUUUAAGUAAACACCUUUAAUGGUGCUGCAUUUGAUUUAAGUUAUAAUAACAUAUUAGGAAAGUAUAUUGGCAUAGAUAUUUUUCAUUUAGAAGUUGUGCUUUUAAAAAUAUGGGUUCCAUAGGAGGUCAGCCUUGGGCACAAAUGGAUGACUCUCCAUAGCAAAAAGGGGAAAAACAUCAGCUUGACAUUUAAUUAUAGGGCCCCUUGGAAUCUGGAGAUUCUGAGUACUGUUAACUGGAGCAUUAUGAGCUGAUCUCAAAGGACUGUUGAUGAUACAAUGAAAAAUUUAGUAACAUUUGAAUAUUAAGAAAAAGUAAAUGAAAAUCAUGUAAUGCUUGUCCUGUAAAAAGUUGUAGCAUAUUCAUUUCUUAGUGGUGAGCUACCUUCCUAUAUGUAUUCAAGAAAUACUUGUAUUUGGUUAAAUACAAUAAAACUAUAAUGAGCGUUCAUAUGUAAGAUACUGACUGACACGUGGGAUUCACAGCUUUCCCGAAUGUGCCAGGCCGCACUGAGUCUUAGUUGGACUGUGUAAUUUCCAGGAGUUCUGCACUCACAGUACAUAAAACGCAGGUCAACUGAGGCCCAAAGACAAUUCUUUGGAGUCUUGGGCUCACACGAGCCAGUGACUGCAUUCCUGCACAUCUGCAUCCUUUUUACUUACAGAUACUUAACUGGUUUGUGCAAAUGUGCCUUGGAGUGAAUCACAUUCACGAGAAAUGUGUGUUACACAGAGAUAUCAAGUCCAAGGUAAGUGGACCUAAAAAAACCCAAAACCAUUUCAUUCACUCUAUUCUCUGUUAUUCUGUUUCCUUCAGGGACAUUUUAUUUAUAGUCUAUAAUGCUUAGACUAGCCAAAUAAGGUACUACCUGAGAAGAAAUCAUUAAAUCUCUUUCAUAGUAGUGUUAACAUGUUCCAAGCUCUCUUAGUGACUGAUUACUAAGCCGUAUGUUCUCAGCUGGAAAAUGGUUGAGACCUGGGCCUGCCACGUGGAAUUAUUCUGACAGAGGGUCCCUGGCCGUCAAUCAGGCUCUGCUGAUACAGUCUGAAGCUCACCUGUUAGAUUUUUAAGCAGUCAUCGUGAAUUCCCAAGCAGGGGACCGUGUAGCUGUUGAGAGAGUAUCCUGUCUUUGUGUGUUCUGCUGGGGGACUCAGCUGUCGGUGUUCCUACCGCGCCUCUGUCAUCAGCAGGCUGUGAAAGAUGCUUCUCCAGAGACGUCUGCCUUAUGGAGGACAUCAUCUGAGCUCUUCUUUUCUUAAUGCAGAAUAUUUUCCUUACCCGAAAUGGAAAAGUAAAUCUAGGAGAUUUUGGAUCUGCCUGUCUUCUCUCCCAGUAUGUAUGUCUAUUCUAUGGCGGUAACAGUAAUCAAAACAUCCAUUAUUUAGGAAUGCUCUGUAAGUUGUCUUUGUCUCUUUUUGGUUUUAGUCCCAUGGCAUUUGCUUGUACAUAUGUGGGAACACUGUAUUACGUACCCCCAGAAAUUUGGGAAAACAUGCCUUGUAACAAUGAAAGCCUUUGAGCACCUCCCACUGCCCGUGGAUCAGCCGCAUCUCCCAGCCUGGCUCCCAGCGUCCUGGUCGCCCUGCGUUGUGCCCGGCAGCAUGACUGGCUUCCACCAAAGCUGUAGCGGUGUCCCGGAUGGUGGCAGCCGGUCCACAUCCCAGCUCAGCCCACCCCAAUGGUAAAUCAGUUCAUCCAGGGGAAAGCCAGUGCCCCACGCGCUCCCAGGCGGCAGCGGGAGAGAAAUGCCUCCAGUGCGGCUCUGGAAGCUGCGUCCAUGCUCGCCUCCAGCGGGACAGGGGAGGAGACAGGUGACCCUGUAGUCAAGUACACUGAACAUAAUGCCCAUAAGCAGUGGCUCAAGGAGACUCCAGAAACCUUGCUGAACAUCCUUAAGAAUGCCGAUCUCAGCUUGGCGUUUCAGACAUCCACGGUAUAUAGAUCAGGUUCAGAAGGGUUCUUAAAAGGCCCCCUGGCUGAAGAAACAGAGACAUCAGACAGUGUUGACAGAGGUCAUGAUUCUGUCAUUUUAAAUCCAGAGAGACUUGAGCCCAGGCUGGAUGAGGA